rnacentral:rRNA from 1 species
GAUGAACGCGGGCGGCGUGCCUAACACAUGCAAGUCGAGCGAGGGUUUGCUCAGUAUUGAGUAUUCUAAGACUAGAAUGUUCAAUUCUGAGCAAAACCAAGCGGCGGACGGGUGAGUAACGCGUGGGUAACCUGCCCUAUACACAUGGAUAACAUACUGAAAAGUUUACUAAUACAUGAUAAUAUAUAUUUGUGGCAUCGCAGAUAUAUCAAAGUGUUAGCGGUAUAGGAUGGACCCGCGUCUGAUUAGCUAGUUGGUGAGAUAACUGCCCACCAAGGCGACGAUCAGUAGCCGACCUGAGAGGGUGAUCGGCCACAUUGGAACUGAGACACGGUCCAAACUCCUACGGGAGGCAGCAGUGGGGAAUAUUGCACAAUGGGCGAAAGCCUGAUGCAGCAACGCCGCGUGAACGAUGAAGGUCUUCGGAUCGUAAAGUUCUGUUGCAGGGGAAGAUAAUGACGGUACCCUGUGAGGAAGCCCCGGCUAACUACGUGCCAGCAGCCGCGGUAAUACGUAGGGGGCUAGCGUUAUCCGGAUUUACUGGGCGUAAAGGGUGCGUAGGUGGUCCUUCAAGUCGGUGGUUAAAGGCUACGGCUCAACCGUAGUAAGCCGCCGAAACUGGAGGACUUGAGUGCAGGAGAGGAAAGUGGAAUUCCCAGUGUAGCGGUGAAAUGCGUAGAUAUUGGGAGGAACACCAGUAGCGAAGGCGGCUUUCUGGACUGCAACUGACACUGAGGCACGAAAGCGUGGGUAGCAAACAGG